rnacentral:rRNA from 1 species
UACGUAGGGUGCAAGCGUUGUCCGGAAUUAUUGGGCGUAAAGAGCUCGUAGGCGGUCUGUCGCGUCUGCUGUGAAAUCCCCGGGCUCAACCUGGGCACUGCAGUUGAAACUGGCAAGCUAGAGUAGGGUAGAGGGGUGUGGAAUUCCCGGUGUAGUGGUGGAAUGCGUAGAUAUCGGGAGGAACACCAGUGGCGAAGGCGGUUGCCUGGGGCUUUGGCUGACGCUGAUGCGCGAAAGCG